AACCGUGCCCCAUAGUCUGGGAUACCACUUGGAAACAGGUGCUAAUACCGGAUAAGAAAGCAGAUCGCAUGAUCAGCUUUUAAAAGGCGGCGUAAGCUGUCGCUAUGGGAUGGCCCCGCGGUGCAUUAGCUAGUUGGUAAGGUAAAGGCUUACCAAGGCGAUGAUGCAUAGCCGAGUUGAGAGACUGAUCGGCCACAUUGGGACUGAGACACGGCCCAAACUCCUACGGGAGGCAGCAGGC
rnacentral:rRNA from 1 species